AUUCAAGUCGAACGGAGUUUUUUCAAUUAAUCCUUCGGGAAGCGUUGAGGGAGCUUAGUGGCGGACGGGUGAGUAACGCGUGAGGAACCUGCCCUUCGGAGAGGAAUAACGACCGGAAACAGUCGCUAAUACCUCAUGACACAUAUUUAUCGCAUGAUAGAUAUGUCAAAGAUUUAUCGCCGAAGGAUGGCCUCGCGUCUGAUUAGAUAGUUGGUAGGGUAACGGCCUACCAAGUCAACGAUCAGUAGCCGGACUGAGAGGUUGAACGGCCACAUUGGAACUGAGAUACGGUCCAGACUCCUACGGGAGGCAGCAGUGGGGAAUAUUGGGCAAUGGGCGCAAGCCUGACCCAGCGACGCCGCGUGAGGGAAGACGGUCUUCGGAUUGUAAACCUUAAACAUCAGGGACGAAACAAAUGACGGUACCUGAAAGGAAGCCACGGCUAACUACGUGCCAGCAGCCGCGGUAAGAC
rnacentral:rRNA from 1 species